GCGGCAGUGGUGGAACGGUAGACACGCUACCUUGAGGGGGUAGUGCCCUAUGGGUGUGGAGGUUCAAAUCCUCUCUGCCGCACCA
rnacentral:tRNA from 1 species